AUCCUGUUCCAGUUCAUAAGCGUGAUGAUUGUGUUCUCAUGUAUUUCCGUGACAUGCGCCUCCCUCUAAACCUUGUUACAAUAUGGGCUUGUAACCCAUAUGAUG
rnacentral:snoRNA from 1 species